rnacentral:rRNA from 1 species
CAUAGGUUAAUGAGGCGAACCGGGGGAACUGAAACAUCUAAGUACCCCGAGGAAAAGAAAUCAACCGAGAUUCCCCCAGUAGCGGCGAGCGAACGGGGAGCAGCCCAGAGCCUGAAUCAGUGUGUGUGUUAGUGGAAGCGUCUGGAAAGGCGCGCGAUACAGGGUGACAGCCCCGUACACAAAAAUGCACAUGCUGUGAGCUCGAUGAGUAGGGCGGGACACGUGGUAUCCUGUCUGAAUAUGGGGGGACCAUCCUCCAAGGCUAAAUACUCCUGACUGACCGAUAGUGAACCAGUACCGUGAGGGAAAGGCGAAAAGAACCCCGGCGAGGGGAGUGAAAAAGAACCUGAAACCGUGUACGUACAAGCAGUGGGAGCACGCUUAGGCGUGUGACUGCGUACCUUUUGUAUAAUGGGUCAGCGACUUAUAUUCUGUAGCAAGGUUAACCGAAUAGGGGAGCCGAAGGGAAACCGAGUCUUAACUGGGCGUUAAGUUGCAGGGUAUAGACCCGAAACCCGGUGAUCUAGCCAUGGGCAGGUUGAAGGUUGGGUAACACUAACUGGAGGACCGAACCGACUAAUGUUGAAAAAUUAGCGGAUGACUUGUGGCUGGGGGUGAAAGGCCAAUCAAACCGGGAGAUAGCUGGUUCUCCCCGAAAGCUAUUUAGGUAGCGCCUCGUGAAUUCAUCUCCGGGGGUAGAGCACUGUUUCGGCAAGGGGGUCAUCCCGACUUACCAACCCGAUGCAAACUGCGAAUACCGGAGAAUGUUAUCACGGGAGACACACGGCGGGUGCUAACGUCCGUCGUGAAGAGGGAAACAACCCAGACCGCCAGCUAAGGUCCCAAAGUCAUGGUUAAGUGGGAAACGAUGUGGGAAGGCCCAGACAGCCAGGAUGUUGGCUUAGAAGCAGCCAUCAUUUAAAGAAAGCGUAAUAGCUCACUGGUCGAGUCGGCCUGCGCGGAAGAUGUAACGGGGCUAAACCAUGCACCGAAGCUGCGGCAGCGACACUGUGUGUUGUUGGGUAGGGGAGCGUUCUGUAAGCCUGCGAAGGUGUGCUGUGAGGCAUGCUGGAGGUAUCAGAAGUGCGAAUGCUGACAUAAGUAACGAUAAAGCGGGUGAAAAGCCCGCUCGCCGGAAGACCAAGGGUUCCUGUCCAACGUUAAUCGGGGCAGGGUGAGUCGACCCCUAAGGCGAGGCCGAAAGGCGUAGUCGAUGGGAAACAGGUUAAUAUUCCUGUACUUGGUGUUACUGCGAAGGGGGGACGGAGAAGGCUAUGUUGGCCGGGCGACGGUUGUCCCGGUUUAAGCGUGUAGGCUGGUUUUCCAGGCAAAUCCGGAAAAUCAAGGCUGAGGCGUGAUGACGAGGCACUACGGUGCUGAAGCAACAAAUGCCCUGCUUCCAGGAAAAGCCUCUAAGCAUCAGGUAACAUCAAAUCGUACCCCAAACCGACACAGGUGGUCAGGUAGAGAAUACCAAGGCGCUUGAGAGAACUCGGGUGAAGGAACUAGGCAAAAUGGUGCCGUAACUUCGGGAGAAGGCACGCUGAUAUGUAGGUGAAGUCCCUCGCGGAUGGAGCUGAAAUCAGUCGAAGAUACCAGCUGGCUGCAACUGUUUAUUAAAAACACAGCACUGUGCAAACACGAAAGUGGACGUAUACGGUGUGACGCCUGCCCGGUGCCGGAAGGUUAAUUGAUGGGGUCAGCGCAAGCGAAGCUCUUGAUCGAAGCCCCGGUAAACGGCGGCCGUAACUAUAACGGUCCUAAGGUAGCGAAAUUCCUUGUCGGGUAAGUUCCGACCUGCACGAAUGGCGUAAUGAUGGCCAGGCUGUCUCCACCCGAGACUCAGUGAAAUUGAACUCGCUGUGAAGAUGCAGUGUACCCGCGGCAAGACGGAAAGACCCCGUGAACCUUUACUAUAGCUUGACACUGAACAUUGAGCCUUGAUGUGUAGGAUAGGUGGGAGGCUUUGAAGUGUGGACGCCAGUCUGCAUGGAGCCGACCUUGAAAUACCACCCUUUAAUGUUUGAUGUUCUAACGUUGACCCGUGAUCCGGGUUGCGGACAGUGUCUGGUGGGUAGUUUGACUGGGGCGGUCUCCUCCUAAAGAGUAACGGAGGAGCACGAAGGUUGGCUAAUCCUGGUCGGACAUCAGGAGGUUAGUGCAAUGGCAUAAGCCAGCUUGACUGCGAGCGUGACGGCGCGAGCAGGUGCGAAAGCAGGUCAUAGUGAUCCGGUGGUUCUGAAUGGAAGGGCCAUCGCUCAACGGAUAAAAGGUACUCCGGGGAUAACAGGCUGAUACCGCCCAAGAGUUCAUAUCGACGGCGGUGUUUGGCACCUCGAUGUCGGCUCAUCACAUCCUGGGGCUGAAGUAGGUCCCAAGGGUAUGGCUGUUCGCCAUUUAAAGUGGUACGCGAGCUGGGUUUAGAACGUCGUGAGACAGUUCGGUCCCUAUCUGCCGUGGGCGCUGGAGAACUGAGGGGGGCUGCUCCUAGUACGAGAGGACCGGAGUGGACGCAUCACUGGUGUUCGGGUUGUCAUGCCAAUGGCACUGCCCGGUAGCUAAAUGCGGAAGAGAUAAGUGCUGAAAGCAUCUAAGCACGAAACUUGCCCCGAGAUGAGUUCUCCCUGACUCCUUGAGAGUCCUGAAGGAACGUUGAAGACGACGACGUUGAUAGGCCGGGUGUGUAAGCGCAGCGAUGCGUUGAGCUAACCGGUACUAAUGAACCGUGAGGCUUAACCUUACAACGCCGAAGGUGUUU